UACGUAGGGGGCUAGCGUUGUCCGGAAUCAUUGGGCGUAAAGCGCGUGUAGGCGGUUCGGUAAGUCCGCUGUGAAAGUCGGGGGCUCAACCCUCGGAUGCCGGUGGAUACUGUCGGGCUAGAGUCCGGAAGAGGCGAGUGGAAUUCCUGGUGUAGCGGUGAAAUGCGCAGAUAUCAGGAGGAACACCGAUGGCGAAGGCAGCUCGCUGGGACGGUACUGACGCUGAGGCGCGAAAGCGUGGGGAGCAAACAGG
rnacentral:rRNA from 1 species